rnacentral:rRNA from 1 species
GAUGAACGCUGGCGGCGUGCCUAAUACAUGCAAGUCGAGCGAACAGACGAGGAGCUUGCUCCUCUGACGUUAGCGGCGGACGGGUGAGUAACACGUGGAUAACCUACCUAUAAGACUGGGAUAACUUCGGGAAACCGGAUCUAAUACCGGAUAAUAUAUUGAACCGCAUGGUUCACUAGUGAAAGACGGUUUUGCUGUCACUUAUAGAUGGAUCCGCGCCGCAUUAGCUAGUUGGUAAGGUAACGGCUUACCAAGGCAACGAUGCGUAGCCGACCUGAGAGGGUGAUCGGCCACACUGGAACUGAGACACGGUCCAGACUCCUACGGGAGGCAGCAGUAGGGAAUCUUCCGCAAUGGGCGAAAGCCUGACGGAGCAACGCCGCGUGAGUGAUGAAGGUCUUCGGAUCGUAAAACUCUGUUAUUAGGGAAGAACAAAUGUGUAAGUAACUAUGCACGUCUUGACGGUACCUAAUCAGAAAGCCACGGCUAACUACGUG